CUUCUCAGCCGCUCCAGCAAUGGACGCAACCCAGAAAACUAUCGGUAUGGAUUUUUGCCGAUAACCUAUAGUUCCAGCAAUCAGCUAUCGGUGCUGAUUAAUCGGCAAAACCGAUACAUCGGUCAACCUCUAGCAACACUCAUGUCUCCAUCUU